UGUGAGGUGUCAACAGGGUUUCUGUGAUA
rnacentral:piRNA from 1 species